CGCCACCUACAGUAGUGGAGUGUGUAGGACAGAGUUUCAAUUAGCGAAUCAAUUGCAGCUGUUAGGUUAACGGUGGAAGUUUUCGUGUUUUGAAUGCAAGGAAACUUUUUUUCCUCUAGUGUUUAGCUUUUUUCCGAUUAAAAAUGUAAUCACCACCGCAAAGGGCCAGCAUCAAUAUCCAAAGUUCAACUACGGCUGGUGUUGUGCGUUCAAACGCCCCAAAAUGUGACGCUUCUGUAGCUUACUGCAGAGAAUGCUCUGUUCCAACAAAAGAAGCAGAUGGAAGUUUGUAAAUUCAUUAACUGAAGCUACCUCCCUGAACCAAAGCUGAAGAGUGGAAAAUGGCGUCAUGUGGAAAUAGUUUGAAUGGUACGCAGCCAUUAAGUCGCCAUGGAUUGAUGUUGUUGGUCGAUGAACCGAUAACGGGACAUCUGAUGUGCGCCAUAUUUUCCCAACGCCUUUGAGGCCCCCCCCCCCCCACAUUCAAUGUAACUAAGCUCUGAAUGACGAAGAGCUGUGGAUGCAGAAUAUGCAGAGAACUUUCAAAAUGGCAACGUUUGGUGUGGGCAUCAUCCAACCAACCUGGUAAAAAGAAAAAUCAAACCUCACCAAGAAGCUCACCCACACAGGACAGCACGCUCCUACCUGGGCCAAGACAGAGGAGAACGGGGCAGCGUGGGAAACCAGCGUCUCGUCGACAUCCAUGCAGCGGCGAAGAGACGUUGCUGGACGCACACGUGGCUCCGAUCAAACCAACCACCGGCCUAUGUCCUCACGCCAUCCUGUGUCCCUCCGCCCCCCACCACCUCCUGCUCCUCCUAUCCCGUGAAGCUUCUUCUAGAGCUCUCCAUCUUCUUCAGAUCCUCUCCUGUUGGGUGUUAUGUGUCCCUUUGAAGUGCCACAUUUUCCCAUGCUGUCAUUCCUCCAGGUUUUCUGUCUCUUCCUCACAGAUGCAUGUCAUGUCUUCUAAAAAAUCAACCCCUUUCAAAGUCAUUGACUAGACUUCCACUUUUAAAUGCAAUAUGCAGGAAAAACUCCAAUGGUGUGUAAAGUCCAUUUUAAAGAAAAAAUAAAUAAAAAGACAAUAAAAUCUA